AAAGUCGUAACAAGGUUUCCGUAGGUGAACCUGCGGAAGGAUCAUUACAAAUCACGCGAGUCCAUUAAUUAUCAUCAUCGAUCAGGGCCGAGGGCGCAAGUUCUUGGACCUGACCGAAUAUAAUGAUGAUGAUGAUGAUGGAUGAGCACAUUGGCACAAGACUGCAAAGUCUUGAUGUUUACGCUUGUUUUGUUUGACAGAGUAAAUUGUGACUAAAAAUAGACAACUUUUAACAAUGGAUCUCUUGGCUCUU
rnacentral:misc_RNA from 1 species